CGAGACUUUCAAUACAAUCUCUCUCUAAUCGGAACCAGGCUACGCAACGAUCAGGACAGCGCGGAGUCGACGAGACAUAUGGCUCGGGAAACGUAGCUCAAUCCAGUGAUGGGAUACUGCGGUGUACUCCUAAUUAUCCCAACGGACACAUCUAGAAUAUUUAAAUACUGCUAGUUUUUAAUGACUAGUAUUUUCGUCAGCAUGUUACAGCUAAUGCAAUAGCAGCCGAUUCUAUUCUAGCGUUGGGGUAACAGUGUGGUCACGUUUAUCAGAAAUAAUGGGAGACUAGUGUCUGUCGCACGGAUUCAAGAGGACCAAGAUGGGAGAAGAUUCACAGGGAAACGUUCUGCUUGGACAAGGCCAAUAUUCUCAGACCAUUGGAUAACCUAUGUAACCGCCAGGUAGCUCAUGUUGCAUGUGGAGACCAGCAUUCAAUUUUACUAACUCAGGAUGGUGGGGUCAUGGGGUCAGAACACCAGCGGUCAGCUGGGUUCGGGGUGGGGCAAGCCCAGGACCAUGUCCCCCAAGC